GAUGAACGCUGGCGGCGUGCCUAAUACAUGCAAGUCGAGCGAACGGACGAGAAGCUUGCUUCUCUGAUGUUAGCGGCGGACGGGUGAGUAACACGUGGAUAACCUACCUAUAAGACUGGGAUAACUUCGGGAAACCGGAGCUAAUACCGGAUAAUAUUUUGAACCGCAUGGUUCAAAAGUGAAAGACGGUCUUGCUGUCACUUCUAGAUGGAUCCGCGCUGCAUUAGCUAGUUGGUAAGGUAACGGCUUACCAAGGCAACGAUGCAUAGCCGACCUGAGAGGGUGAUCGGCCACACUGGAACUGAGACACGGACCAGACGCCUACGGGAGGCAGCAGUAGGGAAUCUUCCGCAAUGGGCGAAAGCCUGACGGAGCAACGCCGCGUGAGUGAUGAAGGUCUUCGGAUCGUAAAACUCUGUUAUUAGGGAAGAACAUAUGUGUAAGUAACUGUGCACAUCUUGACGGUACCUAAUCAGAAAGCCACGGCUAACUACGUG
rnacentral:rRNA from 1 species